UACGGGGGGAGCAAGCGUUGUUCGGAUUUACGGGGCGUAAAGGGCGCGUAGGCGGCCAGCACAAGUCAGUUGUGAAAUCUCCGAGCUUAACUCGGAAAGGUCAACUGAUACUGUGCGGCUAGAGUGCGGAAGGGGCAACUGGAAUUCUUGGUGUAGCGGUGAAAUGCGUAGAUAUCAAGAGGAACACCUGCGGCGAAGGCGGGUUGCUGGGCCGACACUGACGCUGAGGCGCGAAGGCCAGGGGAGCAAACGGG
rnacentral:rRNA from 1 species